GACGAACGCUGGCGGCGUGCCUAAUACAUGCAAGUCGAGCGAUGAAGAGUGGUGCUUGCACCAAUUUGAAGAGCGGCGGACGGGUGAGUAACGCGUGGGGAAUCUGCCUUUGAGCGGGGGACAACAUUGGGAAACGAAUGCUAAUACCGCAUAACAACUUUAAACAUAAGGUUUAAGUUUGAAAGAUGCAAUUGCAUCACUCAAAGAUGAUACCGCGUCGUAUUUACUUGGUUGUGAGGUAAAGGCUUAACAAGGCGAAGGUACAUAGCCGACCCGAGAGGGGGGACGGCCCAAUUGGGACUGGGAAACGGCCCAAACUCCCUCCGGAGGCAGCCGGAGGGGAACUUUGGGAAAGGAGGAAAGGCCGACCGGGCAAAGCCGGCGGGAGGAAGAAGGGUCUUCGGUCGUAAAACUCCGUUGGUAGGGGAGAAAGUUGGUGGGAAGGGAAUGCGCAUGAAGUGACGGUAACUACUCAGAAAGCCACGGCUAACUACGUG
rnacentral:rRNA from 1 species